rnacentral:rRNA from 2 species
GGACGAUAGUGAACCAGUACCGUGAGGGAAAGGUGAAAAGUACUUCGAAUAGAAGGGUGAAAUAGAUCCUGAAACCAUACGCUUACAAUCUGUCGGAGCCUCCUAGUGGGGUGACGACGUGCCUUUUGCAUAAUGAACCUACGAGUUAAUUUUUCCGGCAAGGUUAAGUAGUUCAGCUAUGGAGCCGUAGCGAAAGCGAGUCUGAAUAGGGCAUUUAGUCGGAAGGAUUAGACGCGAAACCGAGUGAUCUACCCAUGAGCAGGUUGAAGCUGUGGUAACACAUAGUGGAGGACCGAACCGGUGGACGUUGAAAAGUCUUCGGAUGACUUGUGGGUAGGGGUGAAAGGCCAAUCAAACUCGGAGAUAGCUCGUACUCCCCGAAAUGCAUUUAGGUGCAGCAUCGUGUUAAAUAAAACAGAGGUAGAGCUACUGAUUGGAUGAAGGGGUUUCAUCGCCUACUAAUUCCUGAUAAACUCCGAAUGCUGUUAUUAUGUUUCACGGUAGUGAGGGCAUGGGUGCUAAGGUCCAUGUCCAAGAGGGAAACAACCCAGACCAUCAGUUAAGGCCCCCAAGUAUAUAUUAAGUUGUAUAAACAAAGUUUAAUCACACAAACGCUAGGAUGUUGGCUUAGAAGCAGCGGGUAAGUUCCGACCUGCACGAAUGGUGUAACGAUCUGGAAACUGUCUCAGCCGUGAGCUCGGUGAAAUUGUAAUAUCGGUGAAGAUGCCGAUUACUCGCAAUGGGACGAAAAGACCCUGUGAACCUUUACUAUAGCUUCGUAUUGGUUUUGAUUAAAAAAUGUGUAGGAUAGGUGGGAGACUUUGAAGUAUUGUCGUAAGACAAUAUGGAGUCAACCUUGAAAUACCACCCUUUUUUUAAUUGAAAUCUAACUCAAUUAAUUAUUGAGGACAUUGCGUGGUGGGUAGUUUGACUGGGGUGGUCGCCUCCAAAAAGGUAACGGAGGCUUCCAAAGGUACCCUCAACACGUUUGGUAAUCGUGUGUAGAGUAUAAUGGCAUAAGGGUGCUUGACUGUGAGACCAACAAGUCGAUCAGGUACGAAAGUAGGGCAUAGUGAUCCGGUGGUUCCGUAUGGAAGGGCCAUCGCUCAAAGGAUAAAAGGUACUCCGGGGAUAACAGGCUAGUCUCCCCCAAGAGCUCAUAUCGACGGGGAGGUUUGGCACCUCGAUGUCGGCUC